rnacentral:rRNA from 1 species
UACGAAGGGUGCAAGCGUUACUCGGAAUUACUGGGCGUAAAGGGUGCGUAGGUGGUUCUUUAAGUCUGCUGUGAAAGCCCCGGGCUCAACCUGGGAAUGGCAGUGGAUACUGGGGAGCUAGAGUGCGGUAGAGGGUAGUGGAAUUCCCGGUGUAGCAGUGAAAUGCGUAGAGAUCGGGAGGAACACCAGUGGCGAAGGCGGCUACCUGGACCAGCACUGACACUGAAGCACGAAAGCGUGGGGAGCAAACAGG